AUUGAACGCUGGCGGCAUGCCUUACACAUGCAAGUCGAACGGUAACAGGUCUUCGGAUGCUGACGAGUGGCGAACGGGUGAGUAAUACAUCGGAACGUGCCUAGUAGUGGUGGAUGACGCACCGAAAGGUGUGCUAAUACCGCAUACGCCCUGAGGGGGAAAGUGGGGGACCGCAAGGCCUCACGCUAAUCGAGCGGCCGAUGUCGGAUUAGCUAGUUGGUGGGGUAAAGGCUCACCAAGGCGACGAUCCGUAGCGGGUCUGAGAGGAUGAUCGGCCACACUAGGACUGAGACACGGCCCAGACCCCUACGGGAGGCAGCGAUGGGAAAUUUGGGACAAAGGGGGAAACCCGGGUCCAGCCAGGCCGCGGGUCUGAAGCAGGCCUUCGGGUUGUAAAGGACUUUUGUCCGGGAGGAAACCCUGAUCGUUAAUAGCGGUCGGGACUGACAGUACCGGAAGAAUAAGCACCGGCUAACUACGUGCCAGCAGCCGCCGUAAUAC
rnacentral:rRNA from 1 species